rnacentral:rRNA from 1 species
CGCCCUUCGGACGGGUGAGUAACGCGUGAGAAUCUGCCUUUAGGUUCGGGACAACAGUUGGAAACGACUGCUAAUACCGAAUGUGUCGCAAGAUGGAAGAUUAAUUGCCUAAAGAUGAGCUCGCGUCCGAUUAGCUAGUUGGUGGGGUAAAAGCUUACCAAGGCGACGAUCGGUAGCUGGUCUGAGAGGAUGAUCAGCCACAUUGGGACUGAGACACGGCCCAAACUCCUACGGGAGGCAGCAGUGGGGAAUUUUCCGCAAUGGGCGAAAGCCUGACGGAGCAACGCCGCGUGAGGGAGGAAGGCUCUUGGGUUGUAAACCUCUUUUCUCAAGGAAGAUAAUGACGGUACUUGAGGAAUCAGCAUCGGCUAACUCCGUGCCAGCAGCCGCGGUAAUACGGAGGAUGCAAGCGUUAUCCGGAAUAAUUGGGCGUAAAGCGUUCGUAGGUGGUUUUGUAAGUCUGCUGUUAAAGCGUGUAGCUCAACUACAUAUAGGCAGUGGAAACUACAAGACUUGAGUGCGUUCGGGGUAGAGG